CUUGUAUCGGUGAUGAGAAUGUAUGAAACGUCAUCCUUGCACUUUGAUUUCCCAUGAAGAAAAUCCACGGGGAGAAUUGAAACUGAGAUGCUU